AGAGUUUGAUUCUGGCUCAGAACGAACGCUGGCGGCAGGCUUAACACAUGCAAGUCGAACGGGUGCAGCAAUGCAUCAGUGGCAGACGGGUGAGUAACACGUGGGAACCUUCCUAGGGGUACGGAACAACUCAGGGAAACUUGAGCUAAUACCGUAUACGUCCGUAAGGAGAAAGAUUCAUCGCCCCUAGACGGGCCCGCGUCGGAUUAGGUAGUUGGUGGGGUAACGGCCUACCAAGCCUACGAUCCGUAGCUGAUCUGAGAGGAUGAUCAGCCACACUGGGACUGAGACACGGCCCAGACUCCUACGGGAGGCAGCAGUGGGGAAUCUUGCGCAAUGGGCGAAAGCCUGACGCAGCGACGCCGCGUGAGGGAUGACGGCCUUCGGGUUGUAAACCUCUUUCAGCUCCGACGAAGCGAGAGUGACGGUAGGAGCAGAAGAAGCACCGGCCAACUACGUGCCAGCAGCCGCGGUAAU
rnacentral:rRNA from 1 species